rnacentral:rRNA from 1 species
AGGAUGAACGCUAGCUACAGGCUUAACACAUGCAAGUCGAGGGGAAACGACAUCGAAAGCUUGCUUUUGAUGGGCGUCGACCGGCGCACGGGUGAGUAACGCGUAUCCAACCUGCCCACCACUUGGGGAUAACCUUGCGAAAGUAAGACUAAUACCCAAUGAUAUCUCUAGAAGACAUCUGAAAGAGAUUAAAGAUUUAUCGGUGAUGGAUGGGGAUGCGUCUGAUUAGCUUGUUGGCGGGGUAACGGCCCACCAAGGCGACGAUCAGUAGGGGUUCUGAGAGGAAGGUCCCCCACAUUGGAACUGAGACACGGUCCAAACUCCUACGGGAGGCAGCAGUGAGGAAUAUUGGUCAAUGGGCGAGAGCCUGAACCAGCCAAGUAGCGUGCAGGAUGACGGCCCUAUGGGUUGUAAACUGCUUUUAUAAGGGAAUAAAGUGAGUCUCGUGAGACUUUUUGCAUGUACCUUAUGAAUAAGGACCGGCUAAUUCCGUGCCAGCAGCCGCGGUAAUACGGAAGGUCCGGGCGUUAUCCGGAUUUAUUGGGUUUAAAGGGAGCGUAGGCCGGAGAUUAAGCGUGUUGUGAAAUGUAGAUGCUCAACAUCUGAACUGCAGCGCGAACUGGUUUCCUUGAGUACGCACAAAGUGGGCGGAAUUCGUGGUGUAGCGGUGAAAUGCUUAGAUAUCACGAAGAACUCCGAUUGCGAAGGCAGCUCACUGGAGCGCAACUGACGCUGAAGCUCGAAAGUGCGGGUAUCGAACAGGAUUAGAUACCCUGGUAGUCCGCACGGUAAACGAUGGAUGCCCGCUGUUGGUCUGAAUAGGUCAGCGGCCAAGCGAAAGCAUUAAGCAUCCCACCUGGGGAGUACGCCGGCAACGGU